rnacentral:rRNA from 1 species
UACAGAGGAUGCAAGCGUUAUCCGGAAUGAUUGGGCGUAAAGCGUCUGUAGGUGGCUUUUUAAGUCCGCCGUCAAAUCCCAGGGCUCAACUCUGGACAGGCGGUGGAAACUACCAAGCUGGAGUACGGUAGGGGCAGAGGGAAUUUCCGGUGGAGCGGUGAAAUGCGUAGAGAUCCGGAGGAACACCAGUGGCGAAGGCGACACGCUGGGCCGUACCUGACACUAAUACGCGACAGCAUGGGGAGCGAACGGG